rnacentral:rRNA from 1 species
GAUGAACGCUGGCGGCAGGCUUAACACAUGCAAGUCGAGCGGAAGAACGGUGCUUGUGUCUGGAUUCAGAGGAGGGCGGGGGAGAAAUGCCUAGGAAUCAGCCGCGCAGUGGGGGAGAAAGUCCUGAGACGGGCGCUAAUAAUGCAUACGAAGAGAGGGAGAAAGAGGGGGAUGUUUGGACCGCACGCGCUUAGAGGAGCUUAGGCCGGAUUAGCUAGUUGGUGGGGUGAAGGCCGACCAAGGCGAGGAUCCGUAACUGGUCUGAGAGGAUGAUCAGUCACACUGGAACUGCGACACGGUCCAGGCUCCUACGGGAGGCAGCAGUGGGGAAUAUUGGGCAAUGGGCGGGAACCUGGUCCAGCCGUGCCACGUGUGUGAAGAAGGUCUUCGGUUUGUAAAGCCCUUUUAGUUGGGAGGAAGGGCAGUAAGUUAAUACCUUGCUGUUUUGACGUUACCAACAGAAUAAGCACCGGCUAACUACGUG